AGUGGUAAGGCAGAGGUCUGCAAAACCUUUAUCCCCAGUUCAAAUCUGGGUGCCGCCU
rnacentral:tRNA from 1 species